rnacentral:rRNA from 1 species
UACAGAGGUCUCAAGCGUUGUUCGGAUUCAUUGGGCGUAAAGGGCGCGUAGGCUGCGGGGCAAGUCGGGUGUGAAAUCUCAGAGCUCAACUCUGAAACUGCACUCGAUACUGCUUUGCUUGAGGACUGGAGAGGAGAUUGGAAUUCACGGUGUAGCAGUGAAAUGCGUAGAUAUCGUGAGGAAGACCGUGGCGAAGGCGGAUCUCUGGACAGUUCCUGACGCUGGAGG